rnacentral:miRNA from 1 species
GAAGAUGAUGAGGAUGAU